rnacentral:rRNA from 1 species
CCUACGGUGCGCAGCAGUGGGGAAUAUUGGACAAUGGGCGAAAGCCUGAUCCAGCCAUGCCGCGUGUGUGAAGAAGGCCUUCGGGUUGUAAAGCACUUUCAGUGGGGAAGAAAGCCUUGGGGCUAAUACCCUCGAGGAAGGACAUCACCCACAGAAGAAGCACCGGCUAACUCCGUGCCAGCAGCCGCGGUAAUACGGAGGGUGCGAGCGUUAAUCGGAAUUACUGGGCGUAAAGCGCGCGUAGGCGGUCUGAUAAGCCGGUUGUGAAAGCCCCGGGCUCAACCUGGGAACGGCAUCCGGAACUGUCAGGCUAGAGUGCAGGAGAGGAAGGUAGAAUUCCCGGUGUAGCGGUGAAAUGCGUAGAGAUCGGGAGGAAUACCAGUGGCGAAGGCGGCCUUCUGGACUGACACUGACGCUGAGGUGCGAAAGCGUGGGUAGCAAACAGGAUUAGAUACCCGGGUAGUC